rnacentral:rRNA from 1 species
AUUGAACGCUGGCGGCAGGCCUAACACAUGCAAGUCGAACGGUAACAGGGAUCAGCUUGCUGAUUCGCUGACGAGUGGCGGACGGGUGAGUAAUGUCUGGGAAACUGCCUGAUGGAGGGGGAUAACUACUGGAAACGGUAGCUAAUACCGCAUAACGUCGCAAGACCAAAGAGGGGGACCUUCGGGCCUCUUGCCAUCGGAUGUGCCCAGAUGGGAUUAGCUAGUAGGUGGGGUAACGGCUCACCUAGGCGACGAUCCCUAGCUGGUCUGAGAGGAUGACCAGCCACACUGGAACUGAGACACGGUCCAGACUCCUACGGGAGGCAGCAGUGGGGAAUAUUGCGCAAUGGGCGCAAGCCUGAUGCAGCCAUGCCGCGUGUAUGAAGAAGGCCUUCGGGUUGUAAAGUACUUUCAGCGGGGAGGAAGGGAGUAAAGUUAAUACCUUUGCUCAUUGACGUUACCCGCAGAAGGAGCACCGGCUAACUCCGUG